rnacentral:rRNA from 1 species
CCUACGGUGGGCUGCAGUGAGGAAUAUUGGUCAAUGGGCGUAAGCCUGAACCAGCCAAGUCGCGUGAGGGAUGAAGGCCCUAUGGAUCGUAAACCUCUUUUAUCAGGGAGUAAAGUGUGGGACGUGUCCUAUUUUGUAUGUACCUUAUGAAUAAGGAUCGGCUAACUCCGUGCCAGCAGCCGCGGUACUACGGAGGAUCCGAGCGUUAUCCGGAUUUAUUGGGUGUAAAGGGUGCGUAGGCGGGCUUUUAAGUCAGCUGUGAAAGUCUGUGGCUCAACCAUAGAAUUGCCGGUGAAACUGGUUGACUUGAGUAUAUUAGAGGGAGGCGGAAUGCGUGGUGUAGCGGUGAAAUGCAUAGAGAUCACGCAGAAUUCCGAUUGCGAAGGCAGCCUACUGAACUAUAACUGACGCUGAAGUACGAAAGCGUGGGGAUCAAACAGGAUUAGAUACCCUAGUAGUC